UCUCACUCCGACCUUCUCUCUCGCUCUAGCUCUAGCUCUAGCUAUCUCGCACUGUGGCUCUUUCUCGCUAGUUCGCCUAUCUCUCUCCAAGAAUCCCUUUCUCCAUUCAAUAGCAGAUUAGCCACCACUCUCAAGACAGAAAAAGCUCUAGUCAGUCAGCUUUGCAUUUGCAUUUGCAUCAGCUUAAAAUCAAGAACCACUUGAGAGGAGUAUCAACACUUUAUGUUCAUAUAUAUCAUUAAAUUCGAUAGCUAGCUGUGGUUAGGGAAUUGGUUAUGAUAUAAGAAGGAAUAUUGGUGGAGUCUUGAUACAUUAUUGAAGAUUGUAGAACAGUGCACAAAUGAAUUUCAUGGAUGAGGACGCUUCUUCGGGCUCUGGAGAUGAUGCAAACAUGCUAGAUGGAAACAAGCAUCAUUCUGGGGUACCAUCAAGUUCAGGUCGUCGGAAGAGAAGUCGCAAGGCUACCGGCGAUGCUUUAGUGGAUGCUAUGCUUGAAAUAGCUGCAGCUUCAAAAAUGAGGGCAGCAGCGAUCAUGAAGAGCGAGGAAGGGUUUUCCAUAAGCAAAUGCAUAAAGAUACAACAGCUGGCAUGGAUGAUUUUGACUUAGAAUUGGAUGAGAUGGAACUAACUGCGGCAGCGGCUGGCUACUACUAUUAUAACAGUAUUACCAAGCAAGCAUGUCGUAGUCUGUCACCUAGUAAAGAAAGUGGAUUUAUGACUGAAGUUCUCAAUGGUCAUGAUGAUGUGUUCCAGGAAAUGUUUCGGAUGGAUAAAAAUGUUUUUCACAAGUUAUGUGACAUUCUUCGGCAGAGAGGCAUGUUACGUGAUACUGCUGGUGUUAUGAUAGAGGAGCAGCUGGGAAUUUUUUUGAAUAUUAUUGGCCAUAAUGAACGUAACAGAGUAAUCC